AUCUGUGGGAGAGAGAAUAUGAGAGGGAGAAGAAGAAAGGAGAGGAUGGAGAAAGAGAGAGGAAAUAGGAGAAGGAGGCGACGUCGAAUGGGAGAGGGUCAGUGCGGUGGCGCAGCGGACGGCGGCUCGUGUGGUGGUGCGGCGCCGUCGUCCACGUGCUCCUCCUGAAGCUCCUCCUCUCCACCAUGGGUGGAUGCCUGGUGAGGCCAGCGUCCCCUCCACACUCAGUAGGAGCCUGGAUCUUUUAACCACAGAGAUGGUGCAUAAAUAAGAAAAACAAUAAGUGCACUAAUGCUUUUCUGGAAUUCCAUUGGUUUUCUGGAAAUUUUGGUGAAAGCAAGAUUUAAGACAGAGAGGUUCAUGUGCUAGGCCAUCGACACACCUCUCUUCAAGGUAAGGUCAGUUCUAAGGUGAGCUCAUCCUAUUUUCUUUCUUCAAUCUCAGGCGAAGAUUCAUCUCUCUAACCUACUACCUCUCUAUAGAAUUUAGAAAUCCGAAAGUCAGAAGAUGUAGGCAGAAUUAGUCAUGCAUUCAAAAGUUAGGGAUUUCAUGCUACAUGCAAAAUGUUUUCUAUUGGGCAGCAACACAUAACAUGUGGCGCUUUAGGGCUGCUUCCUACUGGUUAUCGACAUAAAAUUUAUAAUUUUGUGAUGCCUAGCCUUUUACUGUUGGAAGGAGGAUAUUCAAUGUGGUUCUUUGCCCCCAUUUUUUAUCUAUAUGCAUUGCGUAAAAGUUCUUUGUGUUUUGUUGAUGGAAUAUUGAUACUCAGCUGUGUGCCAAUUUAUAACUAAUCAUAAAAGGGAGAAGAAUAAACUCAAGCACAUUGGAUAAAUGUAACUUGCAGAAAUUUAAUGUUCUCUUCUCCUUUGUAGGUCCCGAGUCGGUUAAUGUUGAUUUUGCUCAUGCGCAACCCAUCAUAGGAGUCAGUAGGAUCAUCUUCAAUGGGUGUAUGGACUGCAAUAGGUAAAUGCCUUUUUGUUUUCACAUUCGAAAUUAUGGAUUGAACACUUCAUUGAGAUAUUACACACCGAGAACCCUAGGUGUAGCCAUGAGCAAGAAUAGAUGGGAUCAACAAUUACAGAGCAUGAAUAUAGAGAUGUCCAAGAGUUACACUUUAUUAUGAUACUCCUGCUCACCCAUGCGUGAGAUGGCCCAUGAUUUCUAUUUACACAUGCUUUUAGAUCUGUAGUGGCAAAGGGUUCAGGUUCUUUACUUACUUGUGUAGGUAAAAGGUUCAUGUUUUUUGUUUUUCAUCUCUUUCCAGAGUGUAUUUAAUGUUUUAAGAAUCCUUGGCACCUUUAGAUGUGAAUAAACAUUCAGAGUGUGUCAAUAGCUAUUUAUUUCCUCGGCAAAUCAACUCACACAUUUUAUAGAUUUUUUUGUCCUCAUCAGUUAUCCGGUUUAAGGUGUCGUGGAUGGCGCACAAGAUGAAGGACAAGGGCGGCAGCAGCCCACAUGAGACACAACUCUUGCUGGUGGAGUGAAGGCCCCGGGGCCUGCGGCGACGAGGAGGAAGACACGUCGUAGGAAACUAAGCUGGAUGGUGAGAAUGCUGAUGUUGUGGUUACUGGAGAUGAGAACGUGUAGCCUGACCAAACCAAGCCUAAGAGCUGUGUCCCUCACUCUGUUGAGCAUGUUUUGGUUGCACUGGUUAGUUGUUAAAGGCUUAGCAGUACCAACCAUGGUGCUGGUGCCGCGGACUCCCCGAUGUGCGCGGCCUCACCGCUCGUCCCUUCUGGCUGCACCUCCCCAUGUCAUGCUGCAGUUUAUCCCUUGUCGAAGUUCUUAUGUGAUUCAUCUCAUACGCAUCGUUGGCUGUUCUCUUUCGGCUUUUCAAGUGGGCUAAGGUUGACCGCUUUCAGGGGUAUGUUAAGGUGUAGGUG